GGGCCGGAGACGCCCCGCCCCGCUUCGCCCGCUCUAGCCCCGACCCGCCCACGCUCUCCACCAAUCAGCGCCGCCUAAGCCUUCUACCACCAAUGAGGAUCCAGCGCCUUCGCGGGUGCCAUCCUUAUGCGGGGCAGCCCGAAGAGCCGGGCGGAGCCCAUGAUUAUGAGGGGCACGCUCCCUGGGGCGGCUUUUCCCUUAGCGGUACACCAUCCUCCCAAGGACCGGGCUGCGCCUCUCAAAAAAAGCCGAUCCCAGUCGGCAGCCCUCAGCUUGAACCAGCCCCACAGAGACAGACUGACAGCCCUGGCCAAUAUCUCGAAGUCAUCGAAUCCUGGCCCAGAGGUGUCCCGACUAAACGCGAAGACCGCAGGCAGCGCGGAUGUGGCCUUGGCCCUCCGGAUCUGACAACCCAAUUGCAGAAGAUGGACCAAAACCCAGGCACCUACGCUACUGGGGCCCUAACUGACCCUGGGAAGGCUUCCUGGAAGAAGUGGCAUUCUGGCUGAGGCCUGCAGGACUGGGGGGAGUCACGAGGUAGCGAGAUAGAGGAACCUAUGCCCAGAAGGGGGCCAGGGGCUGCAAAUAGGGCUCCAAGGAAGAUCCCACAGAUAGAAAACAAUCCUUCAAAAGACUGAUGGGAUUCCAGUACCUCCCUCCUCCCUCCCUCUUUCCUUCAGGCAUUGGGGGUAGAAGACUGCACAUGAUCAUGCAUCAUGCUUUUUCCACGUAACUAUGCUAAUUGAGGAGCCGGCUGCUAACCAAAAAGUCAGCAGUUCCAAUCCACCAAACCGCUCCUUGGAAAGCUGAUAGGGCAUUUCUACUCUGUCCUAUAGGGUCACUGUGACUUGAUGGCAACGGGUUUGGUUUUUUUGAUUUAUGCUAACUGAGGAGCCCUGGCAGCACAGUGGUUAAGAGCUUGGCUGCUAACCAAAAGGUAGGCAGUUCAAACCCACCAGCCACUCCUUGGAAAUCCUAUGUGGCAGUUCUUCUCUCUCCUGUAGGCUCAGUAUGAGUCAGAAUCAGCUUGAUGGCAGCAGGUUUAUGCUAGCCGAAAAGGAGCCAUGGUGGCACGGUGAUUAAAACACUCAACUGCCAACCAAAAGGUCAGUGGUUCAAACCUACCAGCCACUCCACAGGAGAAAGAUGUAGCAAUCUGCUUCUUUAGAGAUCACAGCCUUGGAAACCCUAUGGGGCAGUUCUACCCUGUCCUAUGUGAUCGCUAUGAGCUGGACUCAACUCAACGGCACUCAACAACAACAUAUCCUGGCCCUCAUUCUGGACUAUGUUGGUACAUGUGAGCCACCCUGUUGGCUAACUGGUUUUUUUGAAGCUGCGUAGUACUUCAUUGUGUUGAAAUACCAUUGUGUAGGUGACCAGUCUCCUGCCAUUGGGUGUUUAUGUUGUUUCCAAUAAUUUGCUUGUAAGCAAUGCUCCAAUGAGUAACAGUCUGUCUUCAUUUUUCUUCCAUGUGUGAGUACACUGAUGAAUAAAUUCCAAGAAGUUCAAUUGCUGGGUCAAGGGCAACUUGAUUUUGAAAUUUUCAUCCAUAUUGCCACACUGUCCUCCAGAGGGUUGGGACCAGUUUCCACCCUAAGCAGGGUUUAAUCCAGCCUGUUUCCUCACAGCCUCACCAACAUAGAGUGUUCUCCAACUUUGAUCCUUGCCAACCUGAUGGGUGGAAAAACAGAUCCUCACGGUAGUUAUAAUUUGCAUUUAUUUUAUUCUGAGGGAGACUGAGAACUUUUUAUGUUGAAAAGCCAUUUUUAAAUGGAAAACAAUAGGCGUUGGUGAGGUUGUGGAGAAACUGGAACCCUCAUCCAUUGCUGGUGGGAAUGUAAAAUGGUACAACCACUGUGGAAAAGUUCGGCAGUUUCUCAAAAAGUUGAACAUAGAACUACCAUAUGACCCAGCAAUCCCAAUUCUAGAUAUAUACCCAGAAGAAGUGAAAACAGGAAUGCUAACAGAAACCUGUAUACCAGUGUUCAUUGCAGCACUUUUCACAACAGCCAAAAUGUGGAAACAACUGAGAUGUCCAUCAACAAAUGAAUGGCUAAGUCAAAACAGCCUGGUACUGGUGCAACAGAUACAUAGACCAAUGGAACAGAAUUGAGAACUCAGACGUAAAUUCAUCCAUCUAUGAGCAGCUGAUACUUGACAAAAAGGCCCAAAGUCCAUUAAAUAGGAAAAAGACAGUCUCUUUAACACACGGUGCUGGCAUAACUGGAUAUCCAUCUUCAAAAAGAAAUGAAACAAGACCCAUACCUCACACCAUGUACAAAAACUAACUCAAAAUGGAUCAAAGACUCAAAUAGAAAAUCUGAAACAAUAAAGAUCAUGGAAGAAAACAUAGGGACAACGCUAGGAGCCCUAAUACACGGCAUAAAUAGUAUACAAACCACAACUAACAAUGCACAAACACCAGAAGAGAAGUUAGAUAACUGGAAGCUCCUAAAAACCGAACACAUACACUCAUCAAAAGACUUCACCAAAAGAGUAAAAAGAGAACCUGUGGACUGGGAAAAAAAUUUUGGCUACGACAUAUCCGAUUAGGGUCUAAUCUCUAAAAUCUACAAGAUACUGCAACACCUCAACAAUAAAAAGACAAAUAAUCCAAUUAAAAAAUGAGCAAAGGAUAUGAACACACUUCACCAAACGAGACAUUCAGGUGGCUAACAGACACAUGAGGAAACACUCACAAUCAGUAGCCAUUAGAGAAAUGCAAAUCAAAACUACAGUGAGAUACCAUCUCACCCUAACAUUACUAGCACUAAUCCAAAAAACACAACAUAAUAUAUGUUGGCGAGGUUGUAGAGAGACUAGAACACUUAUGCACUGCCGGUGGAAUGUAAAAUGGUACAACCACUUUGGAAAACAAUUUGGUGCUUCCUUAAAAAGCUAGAAAUAGUAGUACCAUACAAUCCAGCAAUCCUACUCUUUGGAAUAUAUCCUAGAGAAAUAAAAGCCAUCACAUGAAUAGACAUAUGCACACCCAUGUUCAUUGCAGCAUUGUGCACAAAAGCAAAAAGAUAGAAGCAACCUAGGUGCCCAUCAACAGACGAAUGGAUAAAUAAAUUAUGGUAUGUACACAGAAUGGAAUACUACAAAACCAUAAAAAUAAUGAUGAAUAAGGAAACAUAUCACAACAUGGAUGAAUCUGGAGGGCAUUAUACUUACUGAAAUUAGUCACAAAAGGACAAGUAUUGUAUGAGACCACUAUUAUAAGAAAUCAAGCAAAGGUUUAAACAAAGAAGAAAGCAUUCUUUGAUGGUUAUGAGGGCAGGGAGGAAUCUUAACUAGGUAGUAGACAAGGAUCAUCUUAGGUGAAGGGAAGGACACCACACAAUACAGGUGAAGUCAGCACAACUGGACCAAAGCAAAAGCUAAGAAUUUUCCUGAACACAUUCAAACACUUUGAGGGACAGAGCAGCUGGGGCUGCUGCCUGGGUAUCAUAACUUCAGGGGACAUCUAGGACAAUUGGCAUAACAGUUUAUUAAGAAAGUGUUUGGCCUCCCUCCCACUUUGGUGAGUGGCAUCUGGGGUCUUAAAAGCUCGUGAGUGGCCAUCCACUUGGAACAAAGGAAAAUGAAGAACAGCAAAGACAGAAGGAAAAUAUUAGCCCAAGAGACUAACCAAACCAAGAAAAUCAAACCUGUUGCCAUGGAGUCAAUUCUGACUCAUAGCGACCUCAUAGUUUCCAAGCGCCUGAUGGAUUCGAACUGCCUACCUUUUGGUUAGCAGCCAUAGGUCUUAACCACCAUGCCACCAGGGUUUUUGAAGAGAGUAAAGGUCCACCUAAGCCAGAGACUCCACCAGCCUGAGACCAGAAGAACUAGAUGGUACCCAGCUACCACCAAUGACUACCCUGACAGGGAACACAACGGAGAGCACCAGACCAGGAGAAAAGUACGGAGCAGAACUCAAAUUCAUGUAAAAAGACCAGACUUAGUGGUCUGAUAGAGACUGGAAAACCCAAACCCAGUGCCAUUGAAUCGAUUCCGACUCAUAGCGACCCUAUAGGACAGAGUAGAACUGCCCCACAGAGUUUCCAAGGAGCGCCUGGCAGAUUCUUUGGUUCACCAACCCUUUGGUUUGCAGCCGUAGCACUUAACCACUACACCACCAGGGUUUCCAGAGACUGGAAGAACCCCCGAAACUAUGGGCCCCGGACACUCUAUUAACCCAAUAGUAAAACCAUUCCCAAAGCCCACUCUUCAGACUAAGAUUAGACCGGACUAUAAAACAAAAAAUAAUACACGUGAGGAGAGUGCUUAUCAGUUCAAUCAGAUAUGUGAGACCAAAUGGGCGGCUCCUAUCCGGAAGCAGGAUGAGAAGGUAGGAAGGGACAGGAACUGGUUGAAUGGACACAGGGAGCCCAGGGUAAGAAGGGGUAGUGUGUUGUCACAUUGUGGGGUUUGCAACUAAUGUCACAAAACAAUAUGUGUAUAAAUUUUUGUAUGAGAAAUUAACUUCAGCUAUAAACUUUCACCUAAAGCACAAUUAAAUAAAAAAUUAAUGGACAAACAAAAUGUGGUAUGUACAUACAGUGGAAUUUUUACUCAGCCAUAAAUAGAAAUGAAGUCCUAAUACAUGCCACAAAAUGGAUGAGCCUUGAUGGAAACAUCGGGCUGAGCAAAAUAAGUCAGUCACAAAAGGACAAAUACUGUAUGAUCUCAUUUAUGUGAAAUA